rnacentral:rRNA from 1 species
AACGCUAGCUACAGGCUUAACACAUGCAAGUCGAGGGGCAGCAUGAACUUGGUUUGCUAAGUUUGAUGGCGACCGGCGCACGGGUGAGUAACACGUAUCCAACCUGCCGAUUACUCGGGGAUAGCCUUUCGAAAGAAAGAUUAAUACCUGAUGGCAUAUUUUUACCGCAUGGUUUAAGUAUUAAAGAUUCAUUGGUAAUCGAUGGGGAUGCGUUCCAUUAGGCAGUUGGCGGGGUAACGGCCCACCAAACCGACGAUGGAUAGGGGUUCUGAGAGGAAGGUCCCCCACAUUGGAACUGAGACGCGGUCCAAACUCCUACGGGAGGCAGCAGUGAGGAAUAUUGGUCAAUGGACGAGAGUCUGAACCAGCCAAGUAGCGUGAAGGAUGACUGCCCUAUGGGUUGUAAACUUCUUUUAUACGGGAAUAAAGUGAGGUACGUGUACCUUUUUGUAUGUACCGUAUGAAUAAGCAUCGGCUAACUCCGUGCCAGCAGCCGCGGUAAUACGGAGGAUGCGAGCGUUAUCCGGAUUUAUUGGGUUUAAAGGGAGCGUAGACGGGUUGUUAAGUCAGCUGUGAAAGUUUGCGGCUCAACCGUAAAAUUGCAGUUGAAACUGGCGACCUUGAGUGCGGUAGAGGAAGGCGGAAUUCGUGGUGUAGCGGUGAAAUGCUUAGAUAUCACGAAGAACUCCGAUUG